ACCCGCUGAACUUAAGCGGAGGAAAAGAAAUUAACUAAGAUUGCCUCAGUAACGGCGAGUGAAGCGGCAAGAGCCCAAGCUGGAAAUCUUCACACUGCGUGUGACGAAUUGUAAUCUAAAGAGGGUUCGCUCAACGGGCGGUGGCGCAGAAGUGCCUUAGAACGGGCCGCCAGAGAGGGUGACAGCCCCGUAUGUGGUGCCACUGCCUAACGAGCGGGUCCCCGAAGAGUCGGGUUGUUUUGUAUUGCAGCCCUAAGUGGGAGAUAAACUUCUUCUAAGGCUAAAUACCUAUGGGAAACCGAUAGCGAACAAGUACUGUGAAGGAAAGAUGAAAAGAACUUUGAAAAGAGAGUCAAAAGACUUGAAAUCGUUGAGAAGGAAGCGGUAGAAAUUUAUUCUUCGGCGGUGAACGGUGACUUCUGCCUAUCCAUUGCCGGCUGCCAGCACUUCAUAAGGCUGCGGCUGGCACAUGGGGAAGCGGCUGUCUUGUUCUCCGUCGUGAGGCAAAAUGAGGUCGCACAUCCGCAGAGGCUUCCCAAACCUGGCCCGAUUCGUCGGGUAGUUUGGGUUCGCCGGUGGGCGUGCGGCCUGAGGGUGCUUCGUGCGAUUUUGCCAAAAUGGUUUU
rnacentral:rRNA from 1 species